UCGACUGAGCCUGCAAG
rnacentral:rRNA from 1 species